rnacentral:lncRNA from 1 species
CCCGGAUCCACAUCACGUUAAUUUCCGGUCUGGGGUGAAAUCCAGGAGUUGGGCGGGGCCAAGAGCAGCACUGUUUCCGGGAGCCACGUCGGUUUACCAGCGACCCGCGCGGCAGGGACGUGGAAGCGCCGGAUUUGGACGCACGGGUUCAGGGAGAGGCUCCUUGCGGGCUUCGGUGCCAGUGGAGGCCCGCGGCGCCAGUGGGGUGUCUACCGCCGAGGAUUCCGGACACUGCCCUUGUCUAAGACAGGAACCUGGAAAGAGGAUUGUGUUGGCUGUUGGAAAAUGCCAAAGCAUGUCCCAGACCUCCCAGACCUGGAAAGGAACCUGUGCUGAACCAAGAGGUGUUUCAUAAGAGAGGGCUCUGACUCGCCUGGACCCCGGACCUUGGCUACAUAUAGCCAUGGCUACAGCUCAGAUUGCCUUCCUGAGAGAGGAUGAAGUGGGAUGGCAUCCUCAGGAGGCAAAUGCCUUUCCUAAUAAUAAAUAUUGUAUGAUUGCCCUAUUAUGAACUAAAUAUAUAUGUGAAAUAUAAAUAUAUUGUGUGAAAUGUGAAUAUGCAUAGAAUUGCAUGUAUGAGACUGUUUUUCUUUGAAGUUGAACAAAUGUAUCUUAAUAGUACUAAAUGUUAAUAUGAGACAAAAAAACCCACAUUAUUCUUAGUGAAGGAGAAAAGACAAAGAAUGCAACAUAUUAUAUGAUUUUAUCUAUAUAAAAUCUAAAUAUAAAUCAAUUUAUAAAGAUGGAUGGAGAUUAUUGGUUAUGUAGGUCUGAGGAAGGAAUGCUAAGGGGUGUGGAUUCUUUCUUUUUGGAGUAAUGAAAUGAUUCUAAAAUUUUUGAGAUGAUGAGUGUUCAACACUGUUAUUUUACUCAAAGUCAUUGAUUAUACACUUUAGAUAGAAUAGCCAGAAAUAGCAACUAUGUACAGUGGGGAAUGCAUAGAGAGAUUGAGAGGACAGGAAUUUUCUUGUUUGCCUGUUUUUUAUUUAUUGUUAUUACUGAAAUAUUGAAAAUUCUCUAAUUAAAGUGAUGAACUCUCAACUAUGUGAUUGUAGCAAAUACCAUUAAUUGUAUACUUUGGAUAAC